GUUUUCUGCCUGCUCUGAAUGCAUUAGUCUAAUGAGAUGUUUGCAGCUGGAGAGCUGAGCUGCUGGAUGCAUACAGCUUGCUAGCAGACAGGGAGAAGAUGGCUCUGGCACAGCUCUGUGUACAGCUCUGUGUACAUGCUCUGCCAAUCAUCUGCCCUCCCAGGCACAGCACCAGGGCUCUGUAGAGGGCACUGACAACUGAUCUGCAAAAAAAGGCAAAAAG